AGAGUUUGAUCCUGGCUCAGAGCGAACGCUGGCGGCAGGCCUAACACAUGCAAGUCGAACGGAUCCUUCGGGAUUAGUGGCGGACGGGUGAGUAACACGUGGGAACGUGCCUUUUGGUUCGGAACAACUCAGGGAAACUUGAGCUAAUACCGGAUAAGCCCUUCGGGGGAAAGAUUUAUCGCCAUUAGAGCGGCCCGCGUCUGAUUAGCUAGUUGGUGAGGUAAAGGCUCACCAAGGCGACGAUCAGUAGCUGGUCUGAGAGGAUGAUCAGCCACAUUGGGACUGAGACACGGCCCAAACUCCUACGGGAGGCAGCAGUGGGGAAUCUUGCGCAAUGGGCGAAAGCCUGACGCAGCCAUGCCGCGUGAAUGAUGAAGGUCUUAGGAUUGUAAAAUUCUUUCAGCAGGGACGAUAAUGACGGUACCUGCAGAAGAAGCCCCGGCUAACUUCGUGCCAGCAGCCGCGGUAAUACGAAGGGGGCUAGCGUUGCUCGGAAUUACUGGGCGUAAAGGGAGCGUAGGCGGAUCGUUAAGUUAGAGGUGAAAGCCCAGGGCUCAACCCUGGAAUUGCCUUUAAAACUGGCGGUCUUGAGUAUGGCAGAGGUGUGUGGAACUCCGAGUGUAGAGGUGAAAUUCGUAGAUAUUCGGAAGAACACCAGUGGCGAAGGCGACACACUGGGCCAUUACUGACGCUGAGGCUCGAAAGCGUGGGGAGCAAACAAGGAUUAGAUACCCUGGAGUCCACGCUGUAAACG
rnacentral:rRNA from 1 species